rnacentral:rRNA from 1 species
ACGUAGGGUGCGAGCGUUAAUCGGAAUUACUGGGCGUAAAGCGUGCGCAGGCGGUUCGCUAAGACAGGUGUGAAAUCCCCGGGCUUAACCUGGGAAUGGCGCUUGUGACUGGCGGGCUGGAGUACGGCAGAGGGGGGUGGAAUUCCACGUGUAGCAGUGAAAUGCGUAGAGAUGUGGAGGAACACCGAUGGCGAAGGCAGCCCCCUGGACUGAUACUGACACUGGGGUGCGAAAGCGUGGGGAGCAAACAG